GUGGGGAAUCUUGCGCAAUGGGCGAAAGCCUGACGCAGCCAUGCCGCGUGAAUGAUGAAGGUCUUAGGAUUGUAAAAUUCUUUCACCGGGGACGAUAAUGACGGUACCCGGAGAAGAAGCCCCGGCUAACUUCGUGCCAGCAGCCGCGGUAAUACGAAGGGGGCUAGCGUUGCUUGGAAUUACUGGGCGUAAAGGGCGCGUAGGCGGACAGUUUAGUCAGAGGUGAAAGCCCAGGGCUCAACCUUGGAAUUGCCUUUGAUACUGGCUGUCUUGAGUACGGGAGAGGUGAGUGGAACUCCGAGUGUAGAGGUGAAAUUCGUAGAUAUUCGGAAGAACACCAGUGGCGAAGGCGACUCACUGGCCCGUUACUGACGCUGAGGCGCGAAAGCGUGGGGAGCAAACAGGAUUAGAAACCCCUAGUCC
rnacentral:rRNA from 1 species